GAGUUUGAUCAUGGCUCAGGACGAACGCUGGCGGCGUGCUUAACACAUGCAAGUCGAACGGGCCUGCCUGGCUUUGGUUGGGUGGGUGAGUGGCGAACGGGUGAGUAACACGUGAGUAACCUGCCCUCUUCUCUUGGAUAACUGCUUGAAAGGGCGGCUAAUACGGGAUGUUCUGGCUGCCUCGCAUGGGGUGGUUUGGAAAGAUUCGGCCUGGUUUUGGUUGUUUUGGUGGGGGAUGGGCUCGCGGCUUAUCAGCUUGUUGGUGGGGUGAUGGCCUACCAAGGCGGUGACGGGUAGCCGGCCUGAGAGGGUGGACGGUCACACUGGGACUGAGACACGGCCCAGACUCCUGCGGGAGGCAGCAGUGGGGGAUUUUGCACAAUGGGCGCAAGCCUGAUGCAGCGACGCCGCGUGAGGGAUGGAGGCCUUCGGGUUGUGAACCUCUGUCGCCGGUGAUGUAGGCUCUGCUUUGUGGGUGGGGUUGACGGUAGCCGGGGUAUGAAGUGCCGGCUAACUACGUGCCAGCAGCCGCGGUAAUACGUAGGGCGCGAGCGUUGUCCGGAAUUAUUGGGCGUAAAGAGCUCGUAGGCGGCUGGUCGCGUCUGUCGUGAAAUCCUCUGGCUUAACUGGGGGCGUGCGGUGGGUACGGGCCGGCUUGAGUGCGGUAGGGGAGGCUGGAAUUCCUGGUGUAGCGGUGGAAUGCGCAGAUAUCAGGAGGAACACCGGUGGCGAAGGCGGGUCUCUGGGCCGUGUACUGACGCUGAGGAGCGAAAGCGUGGGGAGCGAACAGGAUUAGAUACCCUGGUAGUCCAUGCUGUAAACGUUGGGCACUAGGUGUGGGGGGUCUUUCCGGGUCUUCCGCGCCGUAGCUAACGCAUUAAGUGCCCCGCCUGGGGAGUACGGCCGCAAGGCUAAAACUCAAAGGAAUUGACGGGGGCCCGCACAAGCGGUGGAGCAUGUGGUUUAAUUCGACGCAACGCGAGGAACCUUACCAGCGUUUGACAUCUUAGGAAUGAGAUAGAGAUAUUUCAGUGUCCCUUCGGGGAAACCUAAAGACAGGUGGUGCAUGGCUGUCGUCAGCUCGUGUCGUGAGAUGUUGGGUUAAGUCCCGCAACGAGCGCAACCCCUUUCGUAUGUUACCAUCAUUAAGUUGGGGACUCAUGCGAUACUGCCUACGAUGAGUAGGAGGAAGGUGGGGAUGACGUCAAGUCAUCAUGCCCCUUAUACGCUGGGCUACACACGUGCUACAAUGGGUAGAACAGAGAGUUGCAAAGCCGUGAGGUGAAGCUAAUCUCAGAAAACUAUUCUUAGUUCGGAUUGUACUCUGCAACUCGAGUACAUGAAGUUGGAAUCGCUAGUAAUCGCGAAUCAGCAAUGUCGCGGUGAAUACGUUCUCGGGUCUUGUACACACCGCCCGUC
rnacentral:rRNA from 1 species